CCUACGGGAGGCAGCAGUGGGGAAUAUUGCACAAUGGGGGAAACCCUGAUGCAGCGACGCCGCGUGAAGGAAGAAGUAUUUCGGUAUGUAAACUUCUAUCAGCAGGGAAGAAAAUGACGGUACCUGACUAAGAAGCCCCGGCUAAAUACGUGCCAGCAGCCGCGGUAAUACGUAUGGGCAAGCGUUAUCCGGGUUUACUGGGUGUAAAGGGAGCGCAGGCGGCUUGGCAAGUCUGAUGUGAAAGGCUGGGGCUCAACCCCAGGACUGCUUUGGAAACUGCCAUGCUAGAGUGCUGGAGAGGUAAG
rnacentral:rRNA from 1 species